AUGACCUGCCUCAAGCCGCCACCUCCCAAGACCACGACCUACCUCACGCCGCGACGGCCUCUGGCCACAACCUGCCUCCCGCCCCCACAGCCUCUGAGGGGACGUACUGCCCGGUUUGAGGGGCCACCCCACAGGCUGCAGCUUAGGAGACUCUCCCCUGUCCCUCUUCCACCACCGGCAACGUCUUCCCCACCCUCUCUGUCCUACCCUGUUUCCAAAUUUGGUUUUUGCAGCAGGACUGAUCCCUUGCCUGUGCUCUCCUCUUGUCCUCACUCCUUGGGACUUCCCUUUGCUUAUCACCAUACAUUUUAUAUAGAGCGGUGUCACGAUGCAUCUCCUCUGCCUAGAUGA
rnacentral:rRNA from 1 species